AAAUUCUUGGCUGUGUGUGCGGCAUUGAUCGCUGGUGACAGAUUAGGUCAGAUUCUCAGGACCAGAUUGUUCUUGCUUGGGUAUAACUAAAUAAAUUAAUUCAAUUGCCGUUCCCGCGAUGGAUAUAAUCGGAAGAUAUCAGUUCACCGAACAACGUGAUGGCGUCUCAACGGCGGAGUUUCUUUCCGUUGCUUUGCCUCAAAGUCAGCCUUCCCUGUGGGAACCAUCCGAUUGAAACAGGGGAAUAUUCGAAACAUCCAAUCCAAGUACGGAACGGUCAAGGCUGGAUGACGGAACCAGUUGAUCAGCAGUGUGCCGAACAUAAUAAUAAAAAGGCGUACUAACUAGAUAAGCUAAGAUGAAAACGACGAAUAAAGAAUGCCUGGUUCAGCAGAGGCCAACAGCGUCAACGAUUCCAACGAUUUUUAUUUAAAUUAGUAUUUAAAUAUCGGGUAACAAACAAUAAAUUAAAUAAAAUGUUUCAAAAAAGAAUUUGUCUUCAUUAAAUGAAAAGAAAAUUUAAAAGUAAAAUAA